GACAUCAGCCGGCCGGCGAGGGCGCGCCUGGAGCCGAAGCACGUGCCAGGAUGUUUUAUUGCCGCCGCGGCUGCGGCCGGGCCGGGAGGAUGUGUGUGUGCGUGCGUGUGUGAGUGUGUGUGCGCGCGCCCCGGGGGCAGGGAGGCGGGGGGCGGCGGCGGGCGGCGGAGCGCGGGGGCUGGUUCCUGGUCCCCGGGAGAAGCCAAGAAGGUCCUGAGUUCAAGAGAAACAGGUUUCUAAACAGAAGUAAAAUCCUGUGGAAGUUUAGGAUAAUUGAAUUACUUGCAAAUUGGAGUAUCCUGGAAAACUUCCUGGAGGAAGUGGCCUGUGCUUUGUAUCAGGAAAAAUAGAUGGAAAAGUGGUGAUGACAGAAAAUUGUCUGUUGCUUUUGGAAAAGAAAGAAAAAAAAAAGUGACGUUUCCCUGUGUUUGACAUCCUCUUCCUUAAAGGUAUCAGAAUGGUGCGUGGGUUUGGUUUGAAGCUAAAGAAAGGAGAAAGAGCCAGAGAAGAAGAAAAAAAGAUUCCCUGCAGCCUGCCAGGGACGUGGUAACUGCCCUGCCAAGAGUGAUCCUGGGAGGGCUAUUGAAAGAGCUCUGACUCACGACAACGCUGGAUCAUCAACCCAC